AGGAAUAUUGGUCAAUGGACGGGAGUCUGAACCAGCCAAGUAGCGUGAAGGAUGACUGCCCUAUGGGUUGUAAACUUCUUUUAUACGGGAAUAAAGUGAUCCACGUGUGGAUUUUUGUAUGUACCGUAUGAAUAAGGAUCGGCUAACUCCGUGCCAGCAGCCGCGGUAAUACGGAGGAUCCGAGCGUUAUCCGGAUUUAUUGGGUUUAAAGGGAGCGUAGGCGGGUUGUUAAGUCAGUUGUGAAAGUUUGCGGCUCAACCGUAAAAUUGCAGUUGAUACUGGCGACCUUGAGUGCAACAGAGGUAGGCGGAAUUCGUGGUGUAGCGGUGAAAUGCUUAGAUAUCACGAAGAACUCCGAUUGCGAAGGCAGCUUACUGGAUUGUAACUGACGCUGAUGCCCGAAAGUGUGGGUAUCAAACAGGAUUAGAUACCCUGGUAGUCCACACAGUAAACGAUGAAUACUCGCUGUUGGCGAUAUACGGUCAGCGGCCAAGCGAAAGCAUUAAGUAUUCCACCUGGGGAGUACGCCGGCAACGGUGAAACUCAAAGGAAUUGACGGGGGCCCGCACAAGCGGAGGAACAUGUGGUUUAAUUCGAUGAUACGCGAGGAACCUUACCCGGGCUUAAAUUGCAACUGACUGAACCGGAAACGGUUCUUUCUUCGGACAGUUGUGAAGGUGCUGCAUGGUUGUCGUCAGCUCGUGCCGUGAGGUGUCGGCUUAAGUGCCAUAACGAGCGCAACCCUUAUCGAUAGUUACUAGCAGGUCAUGCUGAGGACUCUAUUGAGACUGCCGUCGUAAGAUGUGAGGAAGGUGGGGAUGACGUCAAAUCAGCACGGCCCUUACGUCCGGGGCUACACACGUGUUACAAUGGGGGGUACAGAAGGCAGCUACACGGCGACGUGGUGCUAAUCCCGAAAGCCUCUCUCAGUUCGGAUUGGAGUCUGCAACCCGACUCCAUGAAGCUGGAUUCGCUAGUAAUCGCGCAUCAGCCACGGCGCGGUGAAUACGUUCCCG
rnacentral:rRNA from 1 species